rnacentral:rRNA from 1 species
ACUCCUACGGGAGGCAGCAGUGGGGAAUAUUGCACAAUGGGGAAACCCUGAUGCAGCCAUGCCGCGUGUGUGAAGAAGGCCUUCGGUUGUAAAGCACUUUCAGUAGGGAGGAAGGUAGUGUAGUUAACACCUGCAUUAUUUGACGUUACCUACAGAAGAAGCACCGGCUAACUCCGUGCCAGCAGCCGCGGUAAUACGGAGGGGUGCGAGCGUUAAUCGGAAUUACUGGGCGUAAAGCGCAUGCAGGCGGCCUGUUAAGUCAGAUGUGAAAGCCCGGGGGCUUAACCUCGGAAUUGCAUUUGAAACUGGCAGGCUAGAGUCUUGUAGAGGGGGUAGAAUUUCAGGUGUAGCGGUGAAAUGCGUAGAGAUCUGAAGGAAUACCAGUGGCGAAGGCGGCCCCCUGGACAAAGACUGACGCUCAGAUGCGAAAGCGUGGGGAGCGAAACAGGAUUAGAUACCCUGGUAGACUGUCA